UAUACAGGCAAAGAAAGAAACGAGAGAAAAGAGAUGCGAAAGAAAGCAGAGAGAGAGAGUGUGUUCCGGAGCCGGCGAAUCUCCGGCAACCGGCCCCACGCGUGCUUGCCUCCCACCCACAGAAACAAAGUCGUCGAGUCUACUUUUCCCGGCUAGGGUUCCGAUCAAGUUCUGGCAAUUUCCGGUUACCUCCGGUGAGGUUCCGAGAAGAUUUCGGUGCCGCUCGGAUUGGGUAGUCUUUGUUGUUCGCUAUCACACUUCACCUUCAGACUCUGUCUUGGACGUUUCAUGUAGAUAGCACACUCCACCAUCAAACUACCAUUCAAUAAUGAAGUACAUACGCAGUGAAUCUUUAUUACUAAAAGAUAAGCUAUAAAGUGUCAUGUAGAUAUGUAGAUGUCUGAGACUCUGAAGUGUGUCUAGAGACGCCUCAGCGCAAGGCGAAGCACACAUCGGCUCAGGCAGGUCAGCUGGCGAAGCGUGUUUUGGUGUAUGGCUUUGGAGUGGGGUUUGUUGGUGAAAAUGGUAGUCGAUGGACGCACUGUUGUUGUUAAAGUCGAGAUCGAACCGUGUUUACAUGUUUGCUCUACGUACAAGUAUUGUAUAUAACAGACGUACAGUGGGGUUAUGGAUUCCGUGAAAGCCACACUUGAGAGUGACACAAGAGUAUGUUUUAUGUUAUCUUCCUUUCAACUCAUUGUUAAUUAUACUAUAUAACAUCCGUCUGUUAGUAUUAUUUUUUUCUUAGCUGCUCACUUUCGAAGCUAGAAGAAAACAUAAAACCAAGGGCAAUACAACUUCUGCAGGUGGUGGAAUUGAAUCCAUGAGGUUAGAAUCUGGACUCGGGUUUGUGCCUGAAGGCUUAGAUAUCAGCUCCAACUCCAACUCCAACUCCGGAAGGUCCAACAAGAAGAGAGUUUUCUCAUUGACUAGAAAAGGUGGGUGUGGCCUUCAGCCAGUGGCAGAGGAGUUGCCAGCCAAUCAUGAAUUGGGUUGGACCAACAGUGGCAGAGUUCACUGGUCCCAGUUUCAAGUUGACUCGACUUUCUAAAAAUGAAUUGUCACCGGAAAGUAAUGGUUCAUCAUUCGGUUAAUUACUUUUACAUUAUAUAUUCCACUUAGAACUGAACCAGUCAUUUCUGUUUCUUUACCAUUUGACUGUAAGAUUUAUUUUUUAUUUCUUACAGACGGGUCAAAUGGGUAAAAGUUAUUUCUAGCAGACGGAUAUGUUGAAUUCACCAUCGAGAUGUCCGCGUCUGAGGUUUGAUUAGAGGUAUCUCUAUUCAGACUGUUCAAUAACUAUGAGGAUGAUAUUCUUGAUUGAAUUGCAACAGUGGACUUGAUCGAAACGCAUUGGAGGAUGGGGUUCCACCAACACUGAACAAACUCACAAGUCUUGGCAAGUUGUGGAUAAAAAUUUGUAUUCUUUUACAAACAUAUUUGACUUUGACUUUGACUUUGACUUUGAUUAUUACUUGAGCUUUGAUCUUUUGCUCUUCUUGUCAUGUCAUGAUCAGCAUUAUGAAAUUUGGAUCACUUAAAAGGAGGCUACAAGAAACCUUAUUCAAUCUAUCUGGAAUUCUACAAGUGUAAGAACAAAAAAAACCAUCUGUGGAUUAUCAACUCGAAAUGCCUCUGUGGUGGCAAUGGAAGGUAUACAGAGGAUAGUAUUAGCGACUCGAAGAAAACUAGGUAUCCAGACACAUGAAGCAAAUGGAAAUGAAGAAAACUACUUUUCGAUCUAUGUAUAAGCGGAAGACUGUAUAUAUUAAAACCUAUGUGUUUGUCUUAAACGUCCCGUUGAAACGUAUCAACAUCCCUUUGUAUCAACUUCAUUAGUGUAAAAGGAUCAACUUCAUUAGUGCAAAUAAAAUUUCAAACCGAGAAUGAUUCGGUUUAGCGCGCCGCAACGCGCACGGGGUAUAACACUAGUUAUACCUAACAUAUUAAUUUAUACAUUUCUAAAAAAAAAAGAAAAAAAAAA